UUGGAGGGCAAGUCUGGUGCCAGCAGCCGCGGUAAUUCCAGCUCCAAUAGCGUAUAUUAAAGUUGUUGCAGUUAAAAAGCUCGUAGUUGAAUUUCGGGGUUCUUCCGUUGGUCAGGCUAACAAGUCUGUACUAACGUGUAGAAUUCCUACCUUCUGGGGAACCAUCAUGUUAUUAAUUUAGCGUGGUGGGAAACCAGGACCUUUACCUUGAAAAAAUUAGAGUGUUCAAAGCAGGCUUACGUCUGAAUACAUUAGCAUGGAAUAAUGAAAUAGGACGGUGGUCCUGUUUUGUUGGUUUCUGAAUCACCGUAAUGAUUAAUAGGGAUAGUUGGGGGCAUUAGUAUUCAAUUGUCAGAGGUGAAAUUCUUGGAUUUAUUGAAGACUAACUUCUGCGAAAGCAUUUGCCAAGGAUGUUUUCAUUAAUCAAGAACGAAAGUUAGGGGAUCGAAGACGAUCAGAUACCGUCGUAGUCUUAACCAUAAACUAUGCCGACUAGGGAUCGGACGAUGUUAAAUUUUAUUGACUCGUUCGGCGCCUUACGGGAAAC
rnacentral:rRNA from 1 species